CAUGCAUCGCUCCAUCUCAGCGACUGAAAAUUUUAAAUUUAUCUCAUUUCAGAGGAAAAAACUGAGCCUCCCGCAAGUGCACUGUGACGAACCUCAGGCGCAGACAAGUUUUUGCGUAGUUUUUUUCUUCUUUUUUUUUGGUCCUUCAAUCGGGGCCCAUUUAGGAUGUGUUUCGUCUUUGAAUUUUUGCGCACUUGUGCGAUUUUUGCUCGUGAUGGUGGAACCUAAAGGACGUUGCGUUGCAAGCCGACUUUGAGAACCAGGACACAAAUUGUUUACAAGCGGUCAAUACACUGGGUCUCAUUGAGGCAAAGAUAUCCAAAUCGUCAUACUUUUAAGUGACCUUCAACCUUCAACAAAUGUAGGAUGCAGAAGCCCGAAACGUUAAUCUUGAGGGUGAUUACUGUUCUCUCGGUAUUCCACGAAGGUCUCGCAAUACUUCAGCCCAACAUGCUGUGCACCAAAGAUGACGCAACUGGUUUGGAUAGUUGCGAAUUCCUCUGCAGUUCCACGUGGGGCAAAGUCCCUUUGCUCAACGUCCCUUGGGCCCACGGGAAGUGCAAGAAUGAUGUUUGCGUUUGCAGUUUAAACGAAGCGGAUCUCAGUCAAUUUAUGCCAUGCCACUGGAUGUCCUCUGUGGUCUCUCUUGCAACCAAUAAGCGAAUGGCCGAAAAGCAAUAUCAGGUAGGCAGGAGUGCAUGAACACUGCAUUUUUUGAGGUAGAUAAUAUGGAUUGCAUUUUGCAAAAGGAACC
rnacentral:lncRNA from 1 species